AGUGGAGGUUGUUUUUUUUUUUUUUUAAUUUUACAAUAUAAAUUGGCCUCCUUCUGCGAACGCAUCUGCGACAGCAAACUGCGGUGACGGUGAAGCUGUCACGCUCAGCUGGUCAUUCUUUCAAGUCUCGAUUUCGCUUAUCCUCCUCUCGUUCGCGCCCCCUCAUUGAGAGGGGGUGCCGCUCUUUCAAGUUUGGCUCCUUUGAUCACGGAUAAAGAAUAACCGUACAGUGACACUUGGCCAGGCACCGUGGUUACGCCGCGACAUGACCAAUCAAGCAGGCUCAUGGGCCUUAUGUUGGUCACGUGUCGAUUUGGCACAGAUGACCAACGCACAAAAAUCACUAUUGUGAACAUCUCGUCCCAUUGCAGGUUUUGUGCACAAGAGUGCAUGGAGCGCACCACUCUCCCGGCCAGGACGGGGGUGUUGUAUUUCAAGCAGGACCAUUGGACCAGAUGGGAGGCAGGCAGAGGAGGGAAAACAAAGCAAGCUACUGUCCCCAACUUCCAUUCCGUGAUGGGACAAACUCCACAAAAGGCUACCAAAGCUACAUUCUCGAGAGGGUUCCCGUUACAAUCGACACGAGGGGGGGGGGGCUGAAAGUAGACAAACAAUAUCAGUCAACAAAGCAGAGAUAAAGACUGUAAUAAGAUAAAAGAGGGGAUAUUGAUUAACAGUCUGGACUAUCUCGAAGAUCCCCUUGCAGGUCCUGCCUUGUAUCAAAGUCAGCAGCACGCGUCUUCUUUUUUUUUUUUAAAAACACAUUUAGAUGACCUGCCGCUGACUGACAACCGAGUCCUCUCAAACAGUGAAUUUUAUCUUCCAAGCCAGGCUUCUUGUCCCCCUGCAGAGCAAAAUCCCCCAUACAAAGUCCCUAUCUGACCUUCAAGAUCACAACCACAACUCAGAUCAACCUGACAGCAGUUACUUCAUUUCGAUACACAGAAGACGAGACGGACGGCCCUUCGUAUCAUUUGAUGCAUACAUUGAAAAAUGGAAGGGGGUGGAGGAGCGCGGGUGGGGUGGGGGCAGGGGGGGGGUAACGGGACAAUAUUAUCACUAUUGCUUGGUGGGAAUGGAGCGGGACAAGUAGGGGUGAGUCUAUUUCAGGGUGAGCAGCAAGUCAUUUCCCCCUCCACCCCCGGUGGGGCGCGGCCCUCCCGCUUAUUGUCCGGCCGGGGUGGUGAACCUUGAGCAGAAUGGAAUGUGGCAUUGUGGACUCUCGCUCCGGUAGCGACAAAAUCACUGUCACCAGAAGCACACGUACACACCCACCCACACACACACACACACACACUUUUACACACACGGACACAAGGCCCAGGUUUCAGUCCCUGCUUGGGCCACAGUGGCCUUGGACUCAUGACAGCACAGUGGGGCUGUUGUUUGGACGGGCGUCACUAAGACGUAUUAGUGACACGGCGCAUUAUGAUUUGCAUACGUGACAAAUGGAGCCAGCUGCUUGCCUUGAAUGUUUCGCCAAAACAUUUCUUUUGGUGAACAGCGCACUUGCACGAUAUGAGUCACGGGCAUUAUUUUUCAUGACGGUCAUUCUGCCAUGCUGUGACAACUGAAAAGCCGUCUUCAUAUUAAACAGCGGCAAUGAAAAUUAUUUUAACAGUGUUCGAGUAAUAUUGGAUCCAAUAAAGCGAUGUACAGUAUAAUGAGUAUUUUUCAAACCUCAGCCUACGGCAAAACAAACAUGCAAUUCACUUUAAAAACGAUCCGACGAACAUAAGCUCACCUCGAGGUCAAAGGUUAUAUUGUCAUCGGUUCUCGGCCAAGUUCGACUGUUACUCAACGGCACUCAAGCAUGAUUGUUCUUUUAUUCAUAAGAAUCCAGAAUGAGUUUUCUCGGUUCUCUUGCACCAAAGUUCUUCAUUCAUUUAAAGGUUGCGCGUUGCCUGCUGGCAGCGAAAGCAUCUCGUACCUACUUCACAGAGGGAACUCGCCUCUUACAGGCUUUGACUGUGAAAUAUUAAAUACCGCGAGUGAAUGUGACUUUGAUCAGCUACGGCGUAUUUGUGGCCUGAUUGUUGACUUGGACGUCUGUGUGUGCCACUGUAGCAAAACUUUGCUUGAUGGCAUCGAUUUGCUAAAAAGCCACAAAAAAAAAAA